rnacentral:snRNA from 1 species
AUGUUUACUUGGCAGGGACAAUGCCAGGAUCCUGAAGGUGGUUUUCCCAGAGUGAGGUGUAUCUGUUGCACUCUGUGCUGACCCUGUGAUACCCCCCAAUGUGAGAAAGUGAAGUGAAUAAUUUGUGAUAGAGGGGACUCUGUUUGUGCUCUUUU